rnacentral:misc_RNA from 1 species
GAUGAAGAACGUAGCGAAAUGCGAUAAGUAGUGUGAAUUGCAGAAUUCAGUGAAUCAUCGAAUCUUUGAACGUACAUUGCGCCCCUUGGUAUUCCAUGGGGCAUGCCUGUUCGAGCGUCAUUUGUACCUUCAAGCUCUGCUUGGUGUUGGGUGUUUGUCUCGCCUCUGCGUGUAGACUCGCCUUAAAACAAUUGGCAGCCGGCGUAUUGAUUUCGGAGCGCAGUACAUCUCGCGCUUUGCACUCAUAACGACGACGUCCAAAAGUACAUUUUUACACUCUUGACCUCGGAUCAGGUAGGGAUACCCGCUGAACUUAAGCAUAUCAAUAAGCGGAGGA